UGAGCCCUUCGGGGUGGAUGAGUGGCGAACGGGUGAGUAACACGUGGGUAAUCUGCCCUGCACUCUGGGAUAAGCCUUGGAAACGGGGUCUAAUACCGGAUAGGACACGUGGCCGCAUGGUCUGCGUGUGGAAAGUUCCGGCGGUGCAGGUUGAGCCCGCGGCCUAUCAGCUUGUUGGUGGGGUGAUGGCCUACCAAGGCGACGACGGGUAGCCGGCCUGAGAGGGUGACCGGCCACACUGGGACUGAGACACGGCCCAGACUCCUACGGGAGGCAGCAGUGGGGAAUCUUGCGCAAUGGGCGAAAGCCUGACGCAGCAACGCCGCGUGGGGGAUGACGGCCUUCGGGUUGUAAACCUCUUUCGACAUCGACGAAGCCUUCGGGUGACGGUAGGUGUAGAAGAAGCACCGGCUAACUACGUGCCAGCAGCCGCGGUAAUACGUAGGGUGCGAGCGUUGUCCGGAAUUAUUGGGCGUAAAGAGCUCGUAGGCGGUUUGUCGCGUCGGCCGUGAAAACCUGCCGCUUAACGGUGGGCGUGCGGUCGAUACGGGCAGACUUGAGUUCGGUAGGGGAGACUGGAAUUCCUGGUGUAGCGGUGAAAUGCGCAGAUAUCAGGAGGAACACCGGUGGCGAAGGCGGGUCUCUGGGCCGAUACUGACGCUGAGGAGCGAAAGCGUGGGGAGCGAACAGGAUUAGAUACCCUGGUAGUC
rnacentral:rRNA from 1 species